UUGAAAGUGUCUACAAAAUCAGAAACGCGAGGACGCCAUCCCAAUUGCAGUGCCUGCCCUUCCGCUCAAGGGCCACUUUGAACUCCGAGCUCCUCCUCCUUCUCCCUUCAGUUCCUUUCCUUAUAAAUCCUCUGCACUCUCAAACUUCCUCACUCAACAAACAUCACCCAGAGAAAGCUUAGCAGCAGAAAUAAUUGAUGGGUUUUGAUUUUCAGAGAGGGAAAAUGGUUGAAGGGUGAAGAAGAAGAAGAAGAAGAAGAAGAA